rnacentral:lncRNA from 1 species
UUUAUAUGACUAAGCUAACAGAGGUAUGAAUGUCAAGCCAAGCCAUAGCUGAGUUCUAGCUAUAAGGUUCUUAAUACUUCAGAAACUCAAUUUUUUGCUUUGUUUUCUUUGCCUCCGAGAACUAACAUUCACCCAAGCAAACCUUUGAUGGACCAAUUCUGUAAAUAGUAAAGAAACCUUUGGAGUGUUAAAUUCUGUGAAUAUUUAUCCG